UUUUUGAAAAUAAUAAAAAGUCUAAUCUGCCCACUGAAUUUAUUUAAAGGGCUGCAGUAUAUUGACUGUACAAAGGUAGCAUAAUCAAUAGUCUUUUAAUUGAAGACUUGUAUGAAUGAUUUGAUGAAAUAUGAACUGUCUCUUUUUUAAAAAUAAAAUUUAAUUUUUUAGUUAAAAAGCUAAAAUAAUUAUAAAAGACGAGAAGACCCUAUAGAGUUUUAUAGUUAUUUAAUUUAAAAAUUUUAUAUAUAAUUUAAAUUUAAAAUUAAUUAAUUAUUUUAUUGGGGUGAUAGAAAAAUUAAAAAAACUUUUUUUAAAAAUUUAACAUUAAUUUAUGAAAUUAUGAUCCAUAAUUUAUGAUUAAAAGAAUCAAUUACCUUAGGGAUAACAGCGUAAUUUUUUUUUUUAGUACAAAUAAGAAAAAGAGUUUGCGACCUCGAUGUUGGAUUAAGAUAAAAUUUAAAUGCAAAAGUUUAAAAUUUUUGAUCUGUUCGAUCAUUAAAAUCUUACAUGAU
rnacentral:rRNA from 1 species